rnacentral:rRNA from 1 species
GGCUCAGAUUGAACGCUGGCGGCAGGCCUAACACAUGCAAGUCGAGCGGUAGAGAGGUGCUUGCAUCUCUUGAGAGCGGCGGACGGGUGAGUAAUGCCUAGGAAUCUGCCUAGUGGUGGGGGAUAACGUUCGGAAACGGACGCUAAUACCGCAUACGUCCUACGGGAGAAAGCGGGGGAUCUUCGGACCUCGCGCCAUUAGAUGAGCCUAGGUCGGAUUAGCUAGUUGGUGAGGUAAUGGCUCACCAAGGCGACGAUCCGUAGCUGGUCUGAGAGGACGACCAGCCACACUGGGACUGAGACACGGCCCAGACUCCUACGGGAGGCAGCAGUGGGAAUUUUGGACAAUGGGCGCAAGCCUGAUCCAGCAAUGCCGCGUGCAGGAUGAAGGCCUUCGGGUUGUAAACUGCUUUGUACGGAACGAAACGGUGAGCUCUAAUACAGUUUGCUAAUGACGGUACCGUAAGAAUAAGCACCGGCUAACUACGUG